rnacentral:rRNA from 1 species
AUUGAACGCUGGCGGCAGGCCUAACACAUGCAAGUCGAGCGGAUGAGCGGAGCUUGCUCCAUGAUUCAGCGGCGGACGGGUGAGUAAUGCCUAGGAAUCUGCCUGGUAGUGGGGGACAACGUUUCGAAAGGAACGCUAAUACCGCAUACGUCCUACGGGAGAAAGUGGGGGAUCUUCGGACCUCACGCUAUCAGAUGAGCCUAGGUCGGAUUAGCUAGUUGGUGAGGUAAAGGCUCACCAAGGCGACGAUCCGUAACUGGCCUGAGAGGAUGAUCAGUCACACUGGAACUGAGACACGGUCCAGACUCCUACGGGAGGCAGCAGUGGGGAAUAUUGGCCAAUGGGCGAAAGCCUGAUCCAGCCAUGCCGCGUGUGUGAAGAAGGUCUUCGGAUUGUAAAGCACUUUAAGUUGGGAGGAAGGGCAGUAAGUUAAUACCUUGCUGUUUUGACGUUACCAACAGAAUAAGCACCGGCUAACUUCGUGCCAGCCGCCGCCGUAACAC